CCUACGGGAGGCAGCAGUGGGGGAUAUUGCACAAUGGGGGGAACCCUGAUGCAGCGACGCCGCGUGGGUGAAGAAGCGCCUCGGCGCGUAAAGCCCUGUCAGCAGGGAAGAAAAUGAUGGUACCUGAAGAAGAAGCCCCGGCUAACUAUGUGCCAGCAGCCGCGGUACUACGUAGGGGGCAAGCGUUAUCCGGAUUUACUGGGUGUAAAGGGGGCGCGGACGGGGAUGCAAGCCAGUAGUGAAAGCCUGGGGCCCAACCCCGGGACUGCUCUUGGAACUGCGUGGCGGGAGUGCAGGAGGGGCAGGCGGAAUUCCUGGUGUAGCGGUGAAAUGCGUAGAUAUCAGGAGGAACACCGGUGGCGAAGGCGGCCUGCUGGACUGCAACUGACGUUGAGGCCCGAAAGCGUGGGGAGCAAACAGGAUUAGAUACCCCAGUAGUC
rnacentral:rRNA from 1 species